rnacentral:rRNA from 1 species
CAGUAGCCGCGGUAAUACGGAGGGUGCAAGCGUUAAUCGGAAUUACUGGGCGUAAAGCGUGCGUAGGCGGUGAGUUAAGUCUGCUGUGAAAUCCCCGGGCUCAACCUGGGAAUGGCAGUGGAUACUGGCUCGCUAGAGUGUGUCAGAGGAUGGUGGAAUUCCCGGUGUAGCAGUGAAAUGCGUAGAGAUCGGAAGGAACAUCUGGGGCGAAGGCGACUAUCUGGGCCAACACUGACACUGAGGCACGAAAGCGUGGGGAGCAAACAGGAUUAGAUACCCCCGUAGUCCCUGUCUCUUAUAU